AGAGGAGGGUCAUGAAAAUGAUCAAAGGGUUUGGAGCACCUCUCCUAUGUGGAAGUUUGGCACAGCACAGUGUACAACCCUUUAAAUAUGCCAGCCCCAAGAAGAGAGGACUUCCUGGGCCAACAGUAAAACUGAGUAGCACAAAAUUAUCAUCUGAGUCUGUCUCUGCUUCACCUGGUACAGAGAUGUCACAGGCAAGAAGGCACAAAACACAGCUGCAGCAACAGGGACAUUGCACAUGACAUUCCUUAGUGUGCAACUAUGAGAUUCUGCUGGAUUGGUAUCUGUAAUCGAAGGAUUAACCACUACUCAGAGAACUAAGUCUCAUCAAGCUUCACAGAGCCAGUCCGCUCUCACAUAUGCUCUGAAUGCCGCAAAGGAUUCAUUUACAGUUUCUUCUUCAGCAUCCACCUCUGGCAAAACUCUUCUCCCUAAUGCCUCAGAACAUCUUUUUACAUGUUUUUGCAGUGUGCACAGGCUGCAGUGCAAUUUAUCGGAACUUUAAGCAAGUUAGCUUAGAGGCACCUUCUUAGCAGGGGAAAUGAAUUCCUCCAGACUUUCAAGUGGCAUCAGUAGGAAGUUUUCAGUACUACAUUGUUUGCUUCUAACUUACCUAUGGGAAGCAAAUGAAUAUACAAGGUUUAAGACAUACCUAAACUGAAAAUUUUGGAAAGCUGUAAAAGAGUUCAGGGAAAAGUGCGCUACAUACUUAACAUGCUCUUUUGCCCUUCUCAUGGCACCCACUGAUUCUUUUUAGGGACACUUAAAAGAAAAGAUACUGGGCCAGAUGGGCCAGGAUGGUCACUUUUCUGUUGGGUGAAGUGUUGAUCUGUUCUUCAUCACAGUAAGGAUGAACCCUUUCCUUCUGCUAUACAGGCCCCCCCUUGUCAGAGGUCAUACCCUGAGCCAAAGUAGAGCUGAGAAUAGAUACAAAAUCUUUGAACUUCAGUUCUGUACCUAAUGACAGACUUCUUUUACAGAAAUAUCUCACAUUUGAGAUGUGGAAGAAGUUUUCUAUUGUAUUUGUCACACAAAACAUACCUGCCCAUUCAGUUUCCGUUAUUUUUUGAAGAUAAAAUUAUUACUACCUUCAAGUGUAGCUUUGUAAAUUUGUCCCAUUUGUUAACUAUAUGAGAAUCCGCAAGGGAUGACAGAAACAUUAAUAAAUGGUAGGAAUAUUU
ensembl:lncRNA